GCUCCAAGAAGGGAGACAGCAGCUCAGCAGCAGUUGGAGCAGCACCUACUGGAAAAACUUCCUCCUCAGAAAGGCAUCAAGGGUGUUCUGGAACCUACCAGGAAAUCUGUCUGAAUACCUGACCAGAUCAGCAUCGACUUCAGCCUGAAUCAUUCCUCUGCCACUUUGCGCUUUUUCUUUUCUUGCACGGUGGAGUGAAGAUUGGCAAGGAGAUCAAGCGCCUACAUUCUUACGAUAAAAAUGUCCUUUCUUCCCUGCUCCCCUGGCAAAUCAUCCUACUGACUUCCAUUAAUUGCAGUUGAUAGUCCUCUUUGAUACUUCAGCCAGCAUGCCACCACGUGAAGAACAGAGGGAGAUUUGCAAGGGCUUCUCAGUUCUUGGGCCACGUUCCAGCCACUUGUGAUGAUUGGCCCUCUGGGACUCCCUCUCAACUCUGAAUUCUGCUGCCUUUCGGUUCUACCUGGACCUGGGACCCCACUGACCUUGGCAUUCUCCCCCAGCAUCUGUGGGCAACUCCCUGAGCAAUGGGAGGGUGUGUGGGGGGUAAGGAAAGAAGCCAGAAAGAACAAUUCUGUUAGCUUGGAGUUCUCUAGAUUCAUUCAUGUUGUUGCAAACGAAAGGAUUUUACUUCCUGAGGGAUGGCAGGUGUGCACCACCCCACCGGACUUGAGUUUUAUCCUUUUAAGGUGUGAACACUACAUCAUUGUACACAUAAGCCCCAUUUCCUUUAUCCAUUCAGCACUGAUGAGCCCCUAAAUUGCUUUCCUAUCUCUGCUAUUGUGAAUUAUACUGCAUACUAAAGGGUAGAGUUUCAAGUUCUUACCGCCUGAAAGGAUAAACGUGUCAGGUGAUGACAAUUAACAGGAUAUGAUUACAAUGCCUUCCUGCAUUACAAUGUGUUGCGCUCCAUGAAAAUAUAUGUUCAUUAUUAUAUUUUACUGGCUGGAAAAUAAAAAAU